ensembl:lncRNA
UAUGUGUCACAGGCAGACGCUCCCCGUCCCCGGAAUAUUGAGGUGCGAAGAUCGGGACCUCAGUCACCCCUCUGUUUUGAGCCAUAAUGACCUCGUUCCUGCCUGCCUGAUCCUCAACGGUACUUCUGUCUAACUCCACGUAAUCCCGGCUUUCGACCACCCGCCUGUACUCCGGAUACGACCACGCCUGACCCCCUGACGAAGACUUCGCCUUCAAUCAGACCCAGCAGAGUCGCAGAGUCCCUUCAGUCCUUGGAGAUGUCCGACCCGGACCAGCGGGCUGUAGGAGGCCCCAGCAUGGCACAUAUCGUCAAACAUCUUGCCGCGGUCCAAGCAGAGCACGGUCAACGACUGGGUCGAGUCGGGGAGUCCGUGCACAACUUAGCAGCAGCGCUCCAGGAUUUCCAGCAGUACACAGUACAUACGGCUGUUCAGGCGCUCGCCGCUACUGCCCCUGUCGAGGCUCCCUCUACCAGAGGAACCCUCGCACCAGCGUUACCACAGUCAGCAC